rnacentral:rRNA from 1 species
UAUUCGCCAGAAUAACAUUAGCAUGGAAUAAUACUAUAGGAUCUCGAUCUAUUUUGUUGGUUUCUAGAGUUGGGAUAAUGAUUAAUAGGGACAAUUGGGGGCAUUCGUAUCGACACGUCGGAGGUGGAAUUCUUGGAUUGUGUUGCGACGAACUACUGCGAAAGCAUUUGCCAAGGAUGUUUUCAUUGAUCAAGAACGAAAGUAAGGGGAUCGAAGACGAUUAGAUACCGUCGUAGUCUUUACCAUAAACUAUGCCAACUAGAGAUGGGACAUGUAUAUUCAUGACUUGUUCCGCACCUUAUGAGAUAUCAAAGUCUUUGGGUUCCGGGGGGAGUAUGGUCGCAAGGCUGAAACUUAAAGGAAUUGACGGAAGGGCACCACCAGGAGUGGAGCCUGCGGCUUAAUUUGACUCAACACGGGGAAACUCACCAGGUCCAGACAUAAUAAGGAUUGACAGAUUGAUAGCUCUUUCUUGAUUUUAUGGGUGGUGGUGCAUGGCCGUUCUUAGUUCGUGGAGUGAUUUGUCUGCUUAAUUGCGUUAACGAACGAGACCUUAACCUGCUAAAUAGAAGCGCAUAUCUUCGGAUAAGCGCCUUUCUUCUUAGAGGGACUUUGUGCGAUUAGCGCAGGGAAGUUUGAGGCUAAAACAGGUCUGUGAUGCCCUUAGAUGUUCUGGGCUGCACGCGCGCUACACUGAUGCGUUCAACGAGUGUACAACCUUGCCCGAUAGGGUUGGGUAAUCUUUUGAACACGCAUCGUGAUGGGGAUAGAUUAUUGCAAUUAUUAAUCUUCAACGAGGAAUUCCUAGUAAUGAUGAAUCAUCAGUUCAUCGUGAUUACGUCCCUGCCCUUUGUACACACCGCCCGUCGCUCCUACCGAUUGAGCAAUCCGGUGAAUAUUUCGGACCGUGGCUAAUCUCACGAGCGGCCUCGGAAAGUCAAGUAAACCUUAUUGCUUAGAGGAAGGAGAAGUCGUAACAAGGUUUCCGUAG